rnacentral:rRNA from 1 species
UCAAGGAAAUAAGGGCUUACGGGGGAUACCUUGGUAUUCAGAGGCGAAGAAGGACGCGGUUACCGGCGAAACGCUUCGGGGAGCUGGAAACAAGCUAUGAUCCGUAGAUCUCCGAAUGAGGAAACUUUUUAAACUAUCUACUGAAUUCAUAAGUAGAAAAGAGCGAACCUAGCGAAUUGAAACAUCUUAGUAGCUAGAGGAAAAGAAAGUAAAAACGAUUCCCUUAGUAGCGGCGAGCGAACUGGGAGAAGCCUAAACUUUUUCCUUAAAUGUAAAUUUAAGAAAAAAGAGUUGUGGGACGAUUAAAAAGAAAUCGUAAUUUUAAGUUAGAUGAAUUAGUUGGAAUACUAAAUCAUAGAAAGUGACAAUCUUGUAGUCGAAAACUUAAAGCUAUUUAAAUUGUAUCCCGAGUAGCAUGGGGCACGUGAAAUCCCGUGUGAAUCUGCGAGGACCACCUCGUAAGGCUAAAUACUACUGAAUAACCGAUAGUGAAACAGUACCGUGAGGGAAAGGUGAAAAGAACCCCGGGAGGGGAGUGAAAAGAACAUGAAACCGUAAGCUUACAAGCAGUAGAAGGACGACUUAUAACGUCUGCCUGCGUGCCUGUUGAAGAAUGAGCCGGCGACUUGUAUUUGGUGGCAUGGUUAAGGUAAGAAAUACCGGAGCCAUAGUGAAAGCGAGUCUGAAUAGGGCGUGAUGUCACCAAUUACGGACCCGAACCCGGAUGAUCUAACCAUGACCAGGAUGAAGCUUCGGUAAUACUAAGUGGAGGUCCGAACUGACUGAUGUUGAAAAAUCAGCAGAUGAGUUGUGGUUAGGGGUGAAAUGCCAAUCGAAUUCGGAGCUAGCUGGUUCUCCCCGAAAUGUGUUUAGGCGCAGCGGUUAGUGUUAUAGCUUAGGGGUAAAGCACUGUUUCGGUGCGGGCUGGUAAUUCGGUACCAAAUCGACGCAAACUCUGAAUACUAAGUGUAUAGCUAACCAGUAAGACUAUGGGGGAUAAGCUCCAUUGUCAAGAGGGAAACAGCCCAGAUCACCAGCUAAGGCCCCUAAAUAAUUGCUAAGUGAUAAAGGAGGUGGGAAGACUUAGACAACCAGGAGGUUUGCUUAGAAGCAGCAAUCCUUUAAAGAGUGCGUAAUAGCUCACUGGUCGAGUAAUCCUGCGCCAAAAAUGAAUGGGACUAAGUAAUUUGCCGAAGCUGUGAGAUAUUAAAAAAA